AGCGGGUUACUCAGCCAAGGAUGACUUGCCUACAUGAUCUGACGUACUGAUUAUUAAUUGAGUGUUAUGUUGUUUGACAUUCAGUUCAGUUCGUUUGUGGGCAAGUCAUCUUUAGGCGCAGAAUCCCGCUCU
rnacentral:pre_miRNA from 1 species